GAUGAACGCUAGCGGCAGGCUUAACACAUGCAAGUCGAGGGGCAGCAUGAGGGUUAGCAAUAACCCUUGAUGGCGACCGGCGCAAGGGUGCGUAACGCGUGAGCAACUUGCCCGUUUCAGGGGGAUAACCGGUGGAAACGCCGACUAAUACCCCAUGGUGAUGGUUUGAGGCAUCUCUUUCCAUCUAAAGAAUUUCGGAAACGGAUAGGCUCGCGUGACAUUAGCUAGAUGGCGGGUAACGGCCCACCAUGGCGACGAUGUCUAGGGGUUCUGAGAGGAAGGUCCCCCANACUGGAACUGAGACACGGUCCAGACUCCUACGGGAGCAGCAGUGAGGAAUAUUGGUCAGUGGUCUGACGACUGAACCAGCCAUGCCGCGUGAAGGUCACGGCCCUAUGGGUCUUAAACUUCUUUGCAAGGGAGCAAUAAGGUCUACGUGUAGAUCGAUGAGAGUACCUUGCGAAUAAGCAUCGGCUAACUCCGUGCCAGCA
rnacentral:rRNA from 1 species